AGGCUGAAACACCAAUACCCUUAUGAUCACUGAAAUUAAGCAAUAUUGAGCCUGGUCGGUACCUGGAUGGAUGACCACUUAGGAAUAUCAGGUGCU